rnacentral:rRNA from 1 species
GACGAACGCUGGCGGCGUGCUUAACACAUGCAAGUCGAACGGAAAGGCCCUGCUUUUGUGGGGUGCUCGAGUGGCGAACGGGUGAGUAGCACGUGAGUAACCUGCCCUUGACUUUGGGAUAACUUCAGGAAACUGGGGCUAAUACCGGAUAGGAGCUCCUGCUGCAUGGUGGGGGUUGGAAAGUUUCGGCGGUUGGGGAUGGACUCGCGGCUUAUCAGCUUGUUGGUGGGGUAGUGGCUUACCAAGGCUUUGACGGGUAGCCGGCCUGAGAGGGUGACCGGCCACAUUGGGAUUGAGAUACGGCCCAGACUCCUACGGGAGGCAGCAGUGGGGAAUAUUGCACAAUGGGCGGAAGCCUGAUGCAGCAACGCCGCGUGCGGGAUGACGGCCUUCGGGUUGUAAACCGCUUUCGCCUGUGACGAAGCGUGAGUGACGGUAAUGGGUAAAGAAGCACCGGCUAACUACGUG